GGAAUAGGGUACCUCCAUGACUGCCACAGGCAGUUUACUCGACAUACCCUGCGGGGAAGUAAGAGAGUGAACAAUAGGAUGAACACCAACAAAGAUAUCAGAUGGAUCAUUGUUCCUUGAUUUGCCCGGAUCUCCAUUGACUGAUUGAAUUGAGUGUAGUUAAUACGGCCACUUGUGUUCUCAUUCUUAGAGAAAACCAGAACUUUCCUACUUGUAUUUUGACCAGGCCUUAAUCCUGAUUCCACAUAGACUCCUGUCUUGCUAUCUAUGACCAAAAGUGCAUUUGUGACAAAGGGAAUAAUUUGCUAUGGCUGAAGAGAAAAAGUGAGUGAGAAAAGUUUAAAGGCACUGCCAUCUCCAUUAGACGUUACCACUGCUGCUCUUAUGGAACACUCCAUCUGCAACAGCUGUGACUCUUCCAUUGCUCAAGGUCCGUUCCAUCACCUGUUAUCAGCACGGAUGCUAUAAGAGCAGCCACACAUAGUCGUAACCAGGAUGUGUAUUUGAGAAACAGCAAAGUGUGAUCUCCUUCCCCCUGCAAACUCACCAUCAUCCUCAACCCAACCUGCCCCAUGGAAACCAGUCUGGCAAUGAUCAUGAGGAAGAGAUGGAAUCUCUUCUAGACUCCAUAUAUCUUGGAGGCCAGAAUAGCAAUUAUUACAUGGAAGUUGCUUAAAUCAGAAACCUUGUAUUUCCAGUGGAGAGCAGCCUCAGCAGUUACACUGAGGUGGGUUAACAAUUUUGUAGAAAACUCAUUUUGAUUGUCAUUUUCCCAGUGUUUUAAUCUAUAUUCCAAAUUUAAGUUAUAUUCCAAAAAUAUUGAAGAUGCUCACAGUAAAAGAAACGUGGAAUAGAAAAAUAAGAUUAUAACCAAGACUCAAAUUUAUAUAGAAAGAGUAUUCAUUAAGUUGGCAGACAUGUCCAGUCUUACUCCUUUGACCAAUUGGAGAUAUUUGUGACUGGGCUGCCUGGGGAGACGGGGACAUGUUAGAUUUGUUUGUUCCCCUCUG
rnacentral:lncRNA from 1 species